AAUGCAUGAUGAGGGCAUUUUUUCAACAUCUCUUUGUAUCUCUCCCAUGCUUCAUAGAGUGAUUCUCCAUCCUUUGGGGUGAACGUAUGAAUAUCAUUCCUCAACCAU